rnacentral:rRNA from 1 species
UACGAAGGGGGGUAGCGUUGUUCGGAAUCACUGGGCGCAAAGCGCACGUAGGCGGAUUUGUUAGUCAGGGGUGAAAUCCCGGGGCUCAACCUCGGAACUGCCUUUGAUACUGCAGAUCUCGAGUACGGAAGAGGUGAGUGGAAUUCCUGGUGUAGAGGUGAAAUUCGUAGAUAGUAGGAAGAACACGAGUGGCGAAGGCGGCUCACUGGUCCGGUACUGACGCUGAGGCGCGAAAGCGUGGGGAGCAACCAGG